rnacentral:rRNA from 1 species
AGAGUUGUAUCCUGGCUCAGGAUGAACGCUGGCUGUAUGCCUAACACAUGCAAGUCGUACGAGAGUUUUUAACUCUAGUGGCGGACGGGUGAGUAACACGUGAGAAUUUGCCUUUAGGAGGGGGACAACAACUGGAAACGGCUGCUAAUACCCCAUAUGCUUUCGAGUGAAAUGGAUUUUUCCGCCUAGAGAGAAGCUUGCGGCUGAUUAGCUUGUUGGUGAGGUAAUGGCUCACCAAGGCGACGAUCAGUAUCUGGUUUGAGAGGACGAUCAGACACACUGGAACUGAGACACGGUCCAGACUCCUACGGGAGGCAGCAGUAGGGAAUUUUCCGCAAUGGGCGAAAGCCUGACGGAGCAAUCUCGCGUGAGGGAUGACGGCCUAUGGGUUGUAAACCUCUUUUUUCAGGGAGGAAUAAAUGACGUGUACCUGAAGAAUAAGCAUCGGCUAACUCCGUGCCAGCAGCCGCGGUAAGACGGAGGAUGCAAGUGUUAUCCGGAAUCACUGGGCGUAAAGCGUCUGUAGGUGGUUUAAUAAGUCAACUGU